UAUCUCUGUAGAGUCUGCAUAUCAAUAAGCGGAGGAAAAGAAACUAACAAGGAUUCCCCUAGUAACGGCGAGUGAAGCGGGAAGAGCUCAAAUUUGAAAUCUUCAAGGUUUGACCUUGACGAAUUGUAGUUUAAAGAAGUGUUUUCGGUUAGAGGAGUAGUAAAAGUUCUUUGGAAUAGGACAUCAUAGAGGGUGAGAAUCCCGUAUUUGACUAUUCUUUCUAGCUUUGUGAUACACUUUCAAAGAGUCGGAUUGUUUGGGAAUGCAGUCCAAAAUGGGUGGUAAAUUUCAUCUAAAGCUAAAUAUUGGCGAGAGACCGAUAGCGAACAAGUACCGCGAGGGAAAGAUGAAAAGAACUUUGAAAAGAGAGUUAAACAGUACGUGAAAUUGUCAAAAGGGAAGCGUUUGACACCAGUGUUGUUUUUCCGAAAAUCAAUUAAAAAUUGAUUCAUGCCAGGUUGUAUUGACCUUAUCAGCUUGCAAUUUGGUUUUGGGUCUCUUUUUGAUGCACUUUUCGGUUAACAAGUCAACAUCAAUUUCCUUUGCUGUAAAAAGGUAAGAGGAAGGUGGCUUCAAUUUCGGUUGAAGUGUUUAUAGCCUUUUAUCUCUGCAGUCGGGGAGAUUGAGGUCUGCAGCGUAGAUCCUUCGGGGCUAGAUACAUUUAUGCUAAGUUAUAGCUUUUCAUAGACAACUUGUUGACUAUGUUUAGUCAUGUAGCUUACUCGUAAGUGCUAUUUUACCUACGCUUAGGAUGUUGAAGACUCUACAGAGAUA
rnacentral:rRNA from 1 species